rnacentral:rRNA from 1 species
AGCGAACGCUGGCGGCAGGCCUAACACAUGCAAGUCGAACGAACUCUUCGGAGUUAGUGGCGGACGGGUGAGUAACACGUGGGAACGUGCCUUUUGGUUCGGAAUAACUCAGGGAAACUUGUGCUAAUACCGAAUGUGCCCUUCGGGGGAAAGAUUUAUCGCCAUUAGAGCGGCCCGCGUCUGAUUAGCUAGUUGGUGAGGUAACGGCUCACCAAGGCGACGAUCAGUAGCUGGUCUGAGAGGAUGACCAGCCACACUGGGACUGAGACACGGCCCAGGCUCCUACGGGAGGCAGCAGUGGGGAAUCUUGCGCAAUGGGCGAAAGCCUGACGCAGCCAUGCCGCGUGAAUGAUGAAGGUCUUAGGAUUGUAAAAUUCUUUCACCGGGACGAUAAUGACGGUACCCGGAGAAGAAGCCCCGGCUAACUUCGUG